AACGAACGCUGGCGGCAGGCUUAACACAUGCAAGUCGAGCGCCCCGCAAGGGGAGCGGCAGACGGGUGAGUAACGCGUGGGAAUCUACCCACCUCUACGGAAUAACGCAUGGAAACGUGUGCUAAUACCGUAUACGUCCUUCGGGAGAAAGAUUUAUCGGAGAUGGAUGAGCCCGCGUUGGAUUAGCUAGUUGGUGGGGUAAAGGCCUACCAAGGCGACGAUCCAUAGCUGGUCUGAGAGGAUGAUCAGCCACACUGGGACUGAGACACGGCCCAGACUCCUACGGGAGGCAGCAGUGGGGAAUAUUGGACAAUGGGCGCAAGCCUGAUCCAGCCAUGCCGCGUGAGUGAUGAAGGCCCUAGAGUUGUAAAGCUCUUUCACCGGUGAAGAUAAUGACGGUAACCGGAGAAGAAGCCCCGGCUAACUUCGUGCCAGCAGCCGCAGUAAAAC
rnacentral:rRNA from 1 species